GGAAAGGGCCACAGCUCAGUGACAGAGCGUCUGCCUUGCAUGCAGAAGGUUGUGGGUUCAGUCCCUAGUAUCAUCCCCUCCA